UUGCAAUCUUGCUGGCCAAGAUGUUGUUCCUUACCUGGGCUGGUUGGAGACGUUGGUCCACUGAAGCAGUGCUGAGCAUGUCUGUCUGCAGGGAGAAGCUGGGAGGGCACCUCCUGUCCUCAGUAGCCUUGCAGCACGUGCCAGCCAGAGGAUAGAGAUGUGUAGGGUUUGCUGCAGGGUGAGAGCAUCAGCUGGGCAUGCAGGUCCACAGUGGCAGUCUUUCUUACCAUGGUAGGGUGCGCUUUCCUAGCCGGCUCUUAGCAAGGCUGUUUGUCAGCUAUCUGCAUCAGUAAUUUGACCUGACAUGUAUUCUGAUCCUUGCUAGGGAACCUAGUUAAAAUCGGAGAAAAGCUGACACUGAAGAGCUUGGCAAAAUGAUGAAUUCUGAAUGUUGGGUGAAACCCCACAUAUUUGGCUUUUAGACUCGAAGCUCUGCCAGGCGCGCUAAUGCUUUCAACUUGGCUGCGAUUCUUUGAACUAUAUUGUGGGUAGAAAACGUGAGAAGUCUGGGAAUGAUGAGCUGAAGUUAAAUGUAAAAAUGCGCGAACUCUGAAUUCGUUUCUCUUUCUAGCUGCAGGCUAAACCUUUUGAUGAGCUUAAAUUAAAUUCUUUAAGGAUGCCCAUUCAGGCAGUCCCUCUGUUGGCAAGAUACUCUGUGGGUUACUUGGAAUUGUUGGCAGCUGUCUCAAGAUUUUUUCUUUUCUCAUUAAAAUUAAUGGCAGAUCUUCUGUGUGUUAAGACAGCUUUGAAGAUUAGUCAGUGUUUCCAGAGGCAAGAGUAGUAGCUGUUUCUAAAGCUAGAUGCAUAAAUGCAAUAUAUUCACUACGGCAUUUGGAUUAUGAAACAUCUUGAUUUCUUUGGUUUUACUUUCUUGGCUUAAUGCUUCUUUACACUUCUGGCUUAUUUUCUGUUGUGAAACUUGUAAUACGGUUUAUAGAGAAGUACGGUGUUCUUGCCACCAGCUCAUUGCAGUUAUAUUUGGGGAGGUUUUUUUAAGACAGGAGGCUAAUCAUAGUAACA